CCCAGUACCAAUAUAGCAAGGCCCUCCAUGCCCAUCCAAUCCUGGAAACUCGACCUUUAUCACCAUUCAUACAACGAAUAUAAAAUCAGCUGAAUUGUUCUCCAAUCAGGUAUAGGUAUUAGUUGGUGGUUGAUAGUUUGAAAUCACUGUUAGUUGGUGGUUGAUAGUACUUACCAUGUUCCCUAUGUUGAAGCUACUACUGUAAACAUCAUUCUUCGUAAGAUUCUCGAAAGUCUGUGGAAACUGUACAAAUCCAACUCCAUCACCUCUUUCUUCAUCCA